rnacentral:rRNA from 1 species
CCUACGGGCGGCAGCAGUGGGGAAUAUUGCGCAAUGGGCGAAAGCCUGACGCAGCGACGCCGCGUGAGGGAUGAAGGUCUUCGGAUCGUACACCUCUGUCAGCAGGGAAGAACGGUCACUGUGCUAAUCAGCAGUGAAUUGACGGUACCUGCAAAGGAAGCACAGGCUAACUCCGUGCCAGCAGCCGCGGUAAGACGGAGGGUGCGAGCGUUAAUCGGAAUUACUGGGCGUAAAGCGGUCGUAGGCGGUAUGUCAAGUCAAGGGUGAAAUCCCCGCGCUCAACGUGGGAACUGCCUUUGAAACUGGCAGACUGGAGUGUGUGAGAGGAUAGUGGAAUUCGAGGUGUAGGCGUGAAAUCCGUAGAUAUCUGGAGGAACAUCAGUGGCGAAGGCGACUAUCUGGCACAUAACUGACGCUGAGGAGCGAAAGCGUGGGUAGCAAACAGGAUUAGAUACCCGGGUAGUC